GAUGAACGCUGGCGGCGUGCCUAAUACAUGCAAGUCGAGCGAACAGAGGAGGAGCUUGCUCCUCUGACGUUAGCGGCGGACGGGUGAGUAACACGUGGAUAACCUACCUAUAAGACUGGGAUAACUUCGGGAAACCGGAGCUAAUACCGGAUAAUAUAUUGAACCGCAUGGAUCAAUAGUGAAAGACGGUUUUGCUGUCACUUAUAGAUGGAUCCGCGCCGCAUUAGCUAGUUGGUAAGGUAACGGCUUACCAAGGCAACGAUGCGUAGCCGACCUGAGAGGGUGAUCGGCCACACUGGAACUGAGACACGGUCCAGACUCCUACGGGAGGCAGCAGUAGGGAAUCUUCCGCAAUGGGCGAAAGCCUGACGGAGCAACGCCGCGUGAGUGAUGAAGGUCUUCGGAUCGUAAAACUCUGUUAUUAGGGAAGAACAAAUGUGUAAGUAACUAUGCACGUCUUGACGGUACCUAAUCAGAAAGCCACGGCUAACUACGUG
rnacentral:rRNA from 1 species